rnacentral:rRNA from 1 species
CAGUCGAGCGGUAACAUUUCUAGCUUGCUAGAAGAUGACGAGCGGCGGACGGGUGAGUAAUGCUUGGGAACAUGCCUUGAGGUGGGGGACAACCAUUGGAAACGAUGGCUAAUACCGCAUAAUGUCUACGGACCAAAGGGGGCUUCGGCUCUCGCCUUUAGAUUGGCCCAAGUGGGAUUAGCUAGUUGGUGAGGUAAAGGCUCACCAAGGCGACGAUCCCUAGCUGGUUUGAGAGGAUGAUCAGCCACACUGGAACUGAGACACGGUCCAGACUCCUACGGGAGGCAGCAGUGGGGAAUAUUGCACAAUGGGCGCAAGCCUGAUGCAGCCAUGCCGCGUGUGUGAAGAAGGCCUUCGGGUUGUAAAGCACUUUCAGUCAGGAGGAAAGGUUAGUAGUUAAUACCUGCUAGCUGUGACGUUACUGACAGAAGAAGCACCGGCUAACUCCGUGCCAGCAGC